CUGCUCGGUCCAGACUUGAGAGGGAUGCGACGCAGGGAGAGGAGGAGCGCGAGGGGAUCCAGCGUCACCAAGCCAGCCGACGCGCGCGAGGGCCGAUGGGAGCCGACGAGAGCGACGGGAUCCAGCGGCGCGCGAGAUGCGGGUGAAUCGUGCGAUUGCCGAUUCAGCUGAGAGGAGGCGCGCGAGGGAUCCAGCGCCGCGGGCGAUAAUGGCCGGCGCCCCAUCUGCCGGAAACUGCUCGCAAUCAUAUCUCAGUUUCUCAGCGCGCAUUCAUGGCGAUUGAUGUGCCAAUCCCUUCUGCUGCCGAGCGGUACGUGUAUAUAUGCUUCCUCCUCUGGUACUCGUGGCUCGCCCUCUCUACUCAUGUCGGGUAGGGUUUCCUGUAUUGCUUUUUAGUUCAUUAUAAUAUAUUGUUGUACGAAGCAAUUACAUUUUCCUGAUGUCCUUUCAUACCAAAAAGUGUGCGUACAGGUGAUGUUCAUGCUAGCGGUGCUCGAUUGAUUUUAUUUUGGAGCUUCAUACAGGAAUUUUUUGGUGUUGGUUAUCUCAAAUGUCUUCUGGACAGGUAACAUCAAUAUUUUUACGCCGCACGAUUGUUUACAUUACAUCUUCCCUGUUGAUGCUGCACUACUUUCAGUUUCACUGGAGAUUUCCAUGCUCUUUGUACUUACGCCUCUUGAAGAUGGGCCAUAUCCUUCUUUUUGUUUAGACAAAGUGUCAGUAUGUUUAGUGUUUUCCUUUUGAUGUUCAGAAGCAGCGAUUGUGCUUUUGAACUAGCAGUGUCUGAGGCCAAUAUGUCACUGUUACAUACAGACCUACCAGGUCCGUUGGAGUACUGCUUGAUAGAACUUUCUGUUUGCUGCCACUUUUUCACUAUUAUCUUUUGUGCAUAGAUUUUCUGAAGCUCUCUGAGAAGUAACACCACUGGCGUUCGGUGCAACAAUUGUUCUGGUAACCUUGCCAUAUUUCGGAGGCAGAGGUUUGCCCUUACUAUGCGUUACACAUGUUGGGAAAUACCAAUCUGCAUUAGACAUGCCUUCGUUCCCAUCCUGCUGAAGGCAAUUUAAGUCUAUUCCUCUCUCGCAAGCAUCACAAACGAGUAAACUCUCCACAACAGUGGUGAAUGUUUUAUAUGUUUGACAGUCCAGCCGAGCAUGGAUAUACUCACUUGAUCACAGCAUCCAGCUAGGAUGAUUGGCAGGUUGUGUCAUAGGUGCCUUCUUUUCCUGAGAUUCCAGUGUUGCUUGUUCUUGAAAAGAUGUUCCUUGCGUCCUUGCCGUCAAUAAGAGUGCACAUGCUCUCGCUCCACGGCCAGUCAUGCAGAACUGGCUUCUCCAGGUAAGAUCUAUGUCACAAGUUACAAGUGAGUUUAUAUGUUCUCUCCGUUAUUGCUUUAUCCUGGUUUACCUUAUCAACAUCCUCACUUCUGUCCUCCUUGUCUUUGUCUGUCUCCAAAUCCAGACAGCAUCCAGCUUGCUGUUGUGGCACUCCAUUUCCAGAAAGCAUAAGUCAGCUUUAAUUGCUCAAGGCGGAUGCAAUACACUUACAGUUUUUCCACUUACUGCCUGUAGGUCCUCUAGAGGGAACCAUGCGAAUCAUUUGGAAUAAUCCUCUCGAGAAAUGAAAAGAUAAUAGUUUACUGAUCUGAAUAGUGAAGAGUAUUAAUCAAAGUACACAAUCUCCAUGUUUUUCUUAUCGACGGGAUUUUUUUUGGUUUCGUGGGUGGCAUUGGAGUAAACUUUGCUACUGCUUGUGGUGUAGGUGUUUCUUGAUAUUUCAGAAUCUUGCUUCAA